GGCCAAUUAGCUCAGCUGGAUAGAGCAUGGUGCUGAUAACACCAAGGUCCCAGGUUCGAUCCCCGUUAGGUCC
rnacentral:tRNA from 1 species